AGUGAACGCUGGCGGUAGGCCUAACACAUGCAAGUCGAACGGCAGCACAGUAAGAGCUUGCUCUUACGGGUGGCGAGUGGCGGACGGGUGAGGAAUACAUCGGAAUCUACUUUUUCGUGGGGGAUAACGUAGGGAAACUUACGCUAAUACCGCAUACGACCUACGGGUGAAAGCAGGGGAUCUUCGGACCUUGCGCGAUUGAAUGAGCCGAUGUCGGAUUAGCUAGUUGGCGGGGUAAAGGCCCACCAAGGCGACGAUCCGUGGCUGGUCUGAGAGGAUGAUCAGCCACACUGGAACUGAGACACGGUCCAGACUCCUACGGGAGGCAGCAGUGGGGAAUAUUGGACAAUGGGCGCAAGCCUGAUCCAGCCAUACCGCGUGGGUGAAGAAGGCCUUCGGGUUGUAAAGCCCUUUUGUUGGGAAAGAAAAGCAGCAGGUUAAUACCCCGCUGUUCUGACGGUACCCAAAGAAUAAGCACCGGCUAACCUCGUG
rnacentral:rRNA from 1 species